rnacentral:rRNA from 1 species
UAGGGAAUCUUCCGCAAUGGGCGAAAGCCUGACGGAGCAACGCCGCGUGAGUGAUGAAGGUCUUCGGAUCGUAAAACUCUGUUAUUAGGGAAGAACAAAUGUGUAAGUAACUAUGCACGUCUUGACGGUACCUAAUCAGAAAGCCACGGCUAACUACGUGCCAGCAGCCGCGGUAAUACGUAGGUGGCAAGCGUUAUCCGGAAUUAUUGGGCGUAAAGCGCGCGUAGGCGGUUUUUUAAGUCUGAUGUGAAAGCCCACGGCUCAACCGUGGAGGGUCAUUGGAAACUGGAAAACUUGAGUGCAGAAGAGGAAAGUGGAAUUCCAUGUGUGGCGGUGAAAUGCGCAGAGAUAUGGAGGAACACCAGUGGCGAAGGCGACUUUCUGGUCUGUAACUGACGCUGAUGUGCGAAGGCGUGGGGAUCAAACAGG